UACGAAGGGUGCAAGCGUUGUCCGGAAUCAUUGGGCGUAAAGCGCGCGUAGGCGGCCCGGUAAGUCCGCUGUAAAAGUCCAGGGCUCAACCCCGGGAGGCGGAUGGAUACUGUCAAGCUUGAGUCCGGAAGAGGCGAGUGGAAUUCCCGGUGUAGCGGUGAAAUGCGCAGAUAUCGGGAGGAACACCAAUGGCGAAGGCAGCUCGCUGGGACGUGACUGACGCUGAGACGCGAAAGCGUGGGGAGCAAACAGGG
rnacentral:rRNA from 1 species